rnacentral:rRNA from 1 species
GUUUGUUGCUAUACCACCCUGAAUGUGCCUGAUGUUGUCUGAUCUCAGAAGCUAAGCAGGGUUGCUCCUGGUUAGUACUUGGAGGGGAGACCACUUGAAAAUACUGUGUGCUAUAGUCU